rnacentral:rRNA from 1 species
UACAGAGGAGCCAAGCGUUGUCCGGAUUGACUGGGCGUAAAGCGCACGCAGGCGGCAUCGCGCGUGGGGUGUGAAAUCUGGCCGCUUAACGGCCAGGCGCCAUCCCAUACGGCGAGGCUGGAGCGAUGCAGAGGUCGGUGGAAUUGCCGGUGUAGCGGUGAAAUGCGUAGAUAUAGGAAGGAAUACCAGUGGCGAAGGCGGCCUCCUGGAUCGAUACUGACGCUGAGGCGCGAAAGCGUGGGGAGCAAACAGG